ensembl:lncRNA
AUUCAACACAGGUUUACUACAUUGAGGUUUACAUAGAAGCAGAAGCAUACAAGAAUUUCAUGGACCUGAUUAGUACCCUGACUCUGGAUGUCAAUGAGUCAGUAAACAGCUCAGCAACAGUACAAAACAUCAGCAUUACAACAGAAUGCAACAUGCUGACCACAGGAAUUGUGAUCUGUAACUGCAAUUCAGGCUACAGUUGGAGUGAGGAAGUGUGUCAGAACUACAGCCAGUGCUGCAACCAAAAUGAGUGCAUGUUUAAUGAUCCAAACCCCAGGGCUAUGUGUCUCUCCAUCAAUAAAGUUUUUGUCAAUGGAUCAUUUACUCUUGAUGAGUCAUUCAACCUUUCCCUUAACGAUCCUGGAAGUCAACAAUAUAAAGAGUUUGUCCAGACAUACACUAGUCAGGUGUGUAUUACACUACAAACAUCAAACACAAAAUUGAACAGAAAUCACUAUUUCUACUGUGUGAUUUUAGUCUAAUACUGCUGCCAUCCUGUCUGUAAAAUAAUA